rnacentral:rRNA from 1 species
AGAGUUUGAUCCUGGCUCAGAUUGAACGCUGGCGGCAUGCCUUACACAUGCAAGUCGAACGGCAGCACGGGGGCAACCCUGGUGGCGAGUGGCGAACGGGUGAGUAAAGCAUCGGAACGUGCCCUGAAGUGGGGGAUAACGUAGCGAAAGUUACGCUAAUACCGCAUAUUCUGUGAGCAGGAAAGAGGGGGAUCGCAAGACCUCUUGCUUUGGGAGCGGCCGAUGUCGGAUUAGCUAGUUGGUGAGGUAAAGGCUCACCAAGGCGACGAUCAGUAGCUGGUCUGAGAGGACGACCAGCCACACUGGAACUGAGACACGGUCCAGACUCCUACGGGAGGCAGCAGUGGGGAAUUUUGGACAAUGGGCGCAAGCCUGAUCCAGCCAUUCCGCGUGAGUGAAGAAGGCCUUCGGGUUGUAAAGCUCUUUCGCAAGGGAAGAAACGAUUCAUCCUAAUACGGUGAGUUAAUGACGGUACCUUGAUAAGAAGCACCGGCUAACUACGUGCCAGCAGCCGCGGUAAUACGUAGGGUGCGAGCGUUAAUCGGAAUUACUGGGCGUAAAGCGUGCGCAGGCGGUUUUGUAAGUCAGAUGUGAAAUCCCCGGGCUCAACCUGGGAACUGCGUUUGAAACUACAAGGCUAGAAUAUGUCAGAGGGGGGUAGAAUUCCACGUGUAGCAGUGAAAUGCGUAGAGAUGUGGAGGAAUACCAAUGGCGAAGGCAGCCCCCUGGGAUAAUAUUGACGCUCAUGCACGAAAGCGUGGGGAGCAAACAGGAUUAGAUACCCUGGUAGUCC